UUGGAGGGCAAGUCUGGUGCCAGCAGCCGCGGUAAUUCCAGCUCCAAUAGCGUAUAUUAAAGUUGUUGCAGUUAAAAAGCUCGUAGUUGAAUUUCGGGGUUAGUAGGUUGGUCAUGCCUCUGGUAUGUACUGGUCUCACUGAUUCCUCCUUCCUGAUGAGCCGUAAUGCCAUUAAUUUGGUGUUGCGGGGAAUUUGGACUGUUACUUUGAAAAAAUUAGAGUGUUUAAAGCAAGCUAACGCUUGAAUACAUUAGCAUGGAAUAAUGAAAUAGGACGUUCGAUCCUAUUUUGUUGGUUUCUAGGAUUGACGUAAUGAUUAAUAGGGAUAGUUGGGGGCAUUAGUAUUCAAUUGUCAGAGGUGAAAUUCUUGGAUUUAUUGAAGACUAACUACUGCGAAAGCAUUUGCCAAGGAUGUUUUCAUUAAUCAAGAACGAAAGUUAGGGGACCGAAGACGAUCAGAUACCGUCGUAGUCUUAACCAUAAACUAUGCCGACUAGGGAUCGGAUGAUGUUAAUUUUUUAAUGACUCAUUCGGCGCCUUACGGGAAAC
rnacentral:rRNA from 1 species